CAGCCGCCGCGGGAAUACAGAGGGUGCGAGCGUUAAUCGGAAUUACUGGGCGUAAAGCGUGCGCAGGCGGUUAUAUAAGACAGAUGUGAAAUCCCCGGGCUCAACCUGGGAACUGCAUUUGUGACUGUAUAGCUAGAGUACGGCAGAGGGGGAUGGAAUUCCGCGUGUAGCAGUGAAAUGCGUAGAUAUGCGGAGGAACACCGAUGGCGAAGGCAAUCCCCUGGGCCUGUACUGACGCUCAUGCACGAAAGCGUGGGGAGCAAACAGGAUUAGAUACCCCAGUAGUCCCUGUCUCUUAUAC
rnacentral:rRNA from 1 species